rnacentral:piRNA from 1 species
GGAAGGUCAGGCUCCCGAAU